rnacentral:piRNA from 1 species
UGNGCUUAAGGUUGACCUCUCUGAAAUGC